AUGAAUAUGAUUAGAUCAUGUUCAUUGCAAUAUGGUCAUUCAUUUAAGUUAGAGAAUAAUGGUUAUUCUGUUUACAUGAAUGAUACCUUUCAUGGUCAUGCACCCUAUGUGAAUGGUUCAUUGAAUCUCGGUCGUGGUAAUACACAUGUUCACGCCAAAAGAUGUAGAGUUAAUAAUGAUAGUACCACUUUCUCGUGGCACUGCCGCUUAGGUCAUAUUGGCGUAAGAUGCAUGAAGAAACUCCAUAUCGAUGGAUGUUUGGAGUCACUUGAUUUUGAAUCACUUGACACAUGCGAGCCAUGCCUCAUGGGCAGGAUGACUAAGACCCCGUUUUCAGGUACAAUGAAACGGGCAAGUGACUUGUUGGAAAUCAUGCAUGCUGAUGCGUGUGAUCCAAUGAGAAUUGAAGCGUGCGGUGGAUAUCUCUAUUUUCUCAUCUUCACUGACGAUUUGAGUAGAUAUAGGUAUAUUUACUUAAUGAAGCACAAGUUUGAAACGUUUGAAAAGUUCAAGCGAUUUCAGAGUGAAGUUAAGAAUCGUCAUAAAAAAGAAGAUCAUGUUCCUAUGAUCCGAUCAAAAGGGGAUUUUCUGAGUUAUGAGUUUGGCAAUCACUUAAGACAUUGUGGAAUUGUUACGCAGUUGAAGCCACCUGGAACACCACAGUGUAAUGGUGUGUCCGGACGUCAUAAUCGAACCUUAUGA
rnacentral:rRNA from 1 species